UAGUACCUACGGGGGGCAGCAGUGGGGAAUAUUGGGCAAUGGGCGCAAGCCUGACCCAGCAACGCCGCGUGAAGGAAGAAGGCUUUCGGGUUGUAAACUUCUUUUGUCAGGGACGAAGCAAGUGACGGUACCUGACGAAUAAGCCACGGCUAACUACGUGCCAGCAGCCGCGGUAAUACGUAGGUGGCAAGCGUUGUCCGGAAUUACUGGGUGUAAAGGGAGCGUAGGCGGGAAAGCAAGUUGAAUGUUUAAGGUAUGGGCUCAACCUGUACAAGCGUUCAAAACUGUUUUUCUUGAGUGGAGUA
rnacentral:rRNA from 1 species